GUGGGGAAUAUUGGACAAUGGGGGGAACCCUGAUCCAGCCAUGCCGCGUGUGUGAAGAAGGCCUUUUGGUUGUAAAGCACUUUAAGCGAGGAGGAGGCUACCGAGAUUAAUACUCUUGGAUAGUGGACGUUACUCGCAGAAUAAGCACCGGCUAACUCUGUGCCAGCAGCCGCGGUAAUACAGAGGGUGCAAGCGUUAAUCGGAUUUACUGGGCGUAAAGCGCGCUUAGGUGGCCAAUUAAGUCAAAUGUGAAAUCCCCGAGCUUAACUUGGGAAUUGCAUUCGAUACUGGUUGGCUAGAGUAUGGGAGAGGAUGGUAGAAUUCCAGGUGUAGCGGUGAAAUGCGUAGAGAUCUGGAGGAAUACCGAUGGCGAAGGCAGCCAUCUGGCCUAAUACUGACACUGAGGUGCGAAAGCAUGGGGAGCAAACAGGAUUAGAUACCCCAGUAGUCC
rnacentral:rRNA from 1 species